CACGUAGGCGGCUCGGCAAAUCGGUCGUGGAAUCCCGACGCUUACCGUCGGAACGGCGGCCGAAAAUACCGGGCUCGAGGGCGUGAGGGGUCACUGGAACUCCUGGUGAAGCGGUGAAAUGCGUAGAUAUCAGGAGGAACGCCGGAGGCGAAAGCGAGUGACUGGCGCGUUCCUGACGCUGAGGUGCGAAAGCUAGGGGAGCAAACA
rnacentral:rRNA from 1 species